UAUUUCUGUUGCAUUUUUCUGAUGUCAUUUAUUCAUAUUGAGCGAUAUUUCUUGAUAUUUUACAAAGAAUACAGGCUACAGACCCUGCCACAGGAGUACCAGUCUAUGAUGAUUAAAAAACGUGCUUCUGGUUGAGAAGGAGAAAUGAAAUCAAGAAAAAUGGAUAUGGGUCCCUAACGCAUUCAAAACUGAAGACCUUCCUGGAAAACUACCAAUUGAUUUCCUCCAAAGGCUUCAGCAGAAGGGAGAGCUACUCAGAGUACCAACGUUUUUCCAGCAAAAGAAGGAUUAACUCUGACCAAGGUCAGAGCAACUAGUCAUCAAUAUUCUUCAUGGGAGAGUCGGGCCUCCUGCAUCCCCGGGAAAUAUCACCUGAAAUAGCCACCUACACGCAGGAGUUUAACGGGGAAUUUUGCAGUGUCAGACAUGCAUGGCAUUCUGAAAAGUCUAGUGAAGCCAUAAGACAAUUAUAUGGCAGCUUCCCCAGGUAAGAAACAAAUCAGAGUAAUGCUACAUCACCACGUGAAAUACACAAAUUAGGUGGAGAUGCAUUAACUAGUAUCAUUCAUCAGUCUAUAGUGAUACAAUUUAUUACAUGAUAAUAAUGGCCAGAGCUGUAUAAGUAGUAAAGGUAAAAUUACAUCAUAACUUGCAUUAGCAGUAUGAGAUUAUAUCCUGAUUAAUGCACAAUUAACUUGUCAUGUGUACAAUGCAUGUGUUUGGAGGUGGACAGAUGGGUUACACUAUGUCUACAUAUGUAGCAUUUAUCACUUUUUUCUAACCCAAAAUUGGAUAUAGGGCUACAUCUACUAAAAUACUUAGCCAACCCACCGGCUUAGUGCAGAGCCACCUAGAGUCUGUAUCAGUGAGAAUCCCUUGGAGAUGAGAACAUCUUUAAAACAUGCAAGAAUCCUCUUCCCCUCUACAGGCUGGGAACCUCAUCCACGGCUCCAUGCAGAUAUCUGUGUUGAAAGCAACAACCUUAAAUGCUCUUCUGAUGGCAGGCACAGACACCUGAACUGAGUUCAGAGUUCAUAUCACAGCUACAUAUCCCAAGGGAAAGCCCCCAAGAGCACUAAAUGACCACAGAUGAGGAAUUUUUUGCUCCUUUUUAAAUUCUGAUUUAUCAGGGAAAAAUAAUUAAGCUAGAGGGAGAGUUAUCUGGGAAGCAUUUUUACUUUUAAUUGCAGUUAUGAGUCAGGGUCCCUCAGCUUCACAUGGACUCCUCUUUAGCUGCAAAACUGCCUCACUUGUCCGUGUGCUGACAUUCAGCUAAAUAAAGGACCUCCAAGUUCUAAUCUCUGUUCUGUC
rnacentral:lncRNA from 1 species